rnacentral:SRP_RNA from 2 species
GCCAGGUGUGGUGGCUCACGCCUGUAAUCCCAGCACUUUGGGAGGCCGAGGCGGGAGGAUCACCUGAGGUCAGGAGUUCGAGACCAGCCUGGCCAAGAUGGUGAAACCCCGUCUCUA